CUCAAUUUGAUUUCUUUAGACAGGUCAAGCAAAAAUUGUAUAGAAGGAUGCAGUUUCUAUAUGAUUUUGCAAAGAUGAAUGAACAGUGUAAAAGAAUGGAUAAUGGUGAUUUAGAUCCACCAAAGUAAAAAAAAAAAAA